rnacentral:rRNA from 1 species
AACGUAGGAGACAAACGUUAUCCGGAGUUACUGGGCGUAAAGGGCGUGUAGGUGGUUUCGUAAGUCUGGCGUGAAAUUUUUCGGCUUAACCGGGAAAGGUCGUCGGAUACUGCGGGACUGGAGGACGGUAGAGGCGUGUGGAAUUCCGGGUGUAGUGGUGAAAUGCGUAGAGAUCCGGAGGAACACCAGUGGCGAAGGCGACACGCUGGGCCUUACCUGACGCUGAGGAGCGAAAGCGUGGGGAGCAAACAGG